rnacentral:rRNA from 1 species
GAUGAACGCUGGCGGCGUGCUUAACACAUGCAAGUCGAACGGUGAAGGCGGAGCUUGCUCUGCUGAAUCAGUGGCGAACGGGUGAGUAACACGUGAGCAAUCUGCCCCUGACUCUGGGAUAAGCGCUGGAAACGGCGUCUAAUACUGGAUACGAGCUGCGAAGGCAUCUUCAGCAGCUGGAAAGAAUUUCGGUCAGGGAUGAGCUCGCGGCCUAUCAGCUUGUUGGUGAGGUAAUGGCUCACCAAGGCGUCGACGGGUAGCCGGCCUGGGAGGGUGACCGGCCACACUGGGACUGAGACACGGCCCAGACUCCUACGGGAGGCAGCAGUGGGGAAUAUUGCACAAUGGGCGAAAGCCUGAUGCAGCAACGCCGCGUGAGGGACGACGGCCUUCGGGUUGUAAACCUCUUUUAGCAGGGAAGAAGCGAAAGUGACGGUACCUGCAGAAAAAGCGCCGGCUAACUACGUG